UCAAUGGCCCCGAUUUGCUGUCUUUCUCUAAACUAAGUUUACAGUAUCUGCAUCCUCCUCCUUUUAAUAUUGCUAAAAAAGAACGGGACAUGAAUUUUACAUUUAAAGACUUCAUAUUUUAGAGAACAA